rnacentral:rRNA from 1 species
GACGAACGCUGGCGGCGUGCUUAACACAUGCAAGUCGAACGGAAAGGCCCAGCUUGCUGGGUGCUCGAGUGGCGAACGGGUGAGUAACACGUGGGUGAUCUGCCCCUAACUUCGGGAUAAGCUUGGGAAACUGGGUCUAAUACCGGAUAGGACAAUCGUUUAGUGUCGGUUGUGGAAAGUUUUUUCGGUUAGGGAUGAGCCCGCGGCCUAUCAGCUUGUUGGUGGGGUAAUGGCCUACCAAGGCGUCGACGGGUAGCCGGCCUGAGAGGGUGGACGGCCACAUUGGGACUGAGAUACGGCCCAGACUCCUACGGGAGGCAGCAGUGGGGAAUAUUGCACAAUGGGCGCAAGCCUGAUGCAGUGACGCCGCGUGGGGGAUGACGGCCUUCGGGUUGUAAACCUCUUUCGACAGGGACGAAGCUUUGGUGACGGUACCUGUAUAAGAAGCACCGGCUAACUACGUG